AAUAUUCCACUUUCAAAAGGAUUUAUUUUCAUUUUGACACCAAUAUUUGACAGUUGUCUAAGGCAAGACACCAUUAUUAUACAACAACAACCAAGAACAGUGAUUCACAAGAAUACCAAAUCAAUACAUUCUGCCCAAUACAAGUCCAAAAAAGUGUUUCGUUAUAUCAAGGUGAAUAUAAAGCAAACGGCAAUGGGUAUGUGACAUUUGCUUUAAUGAGCAAAAAAGAUGCAGAACUGAAAAAUCUUAAAGGAAAAUAAAAUUAUAAAUUCAUAUUCUAAAUAUAAUCACAAAUCACCUUCUUCAUAAUGAUUUAGAAAUGAACACGCUGACCAGCAGAAUCUGACAUGCACAUAAGGGCAUGAAUAAGAAAAUAAAUAUAAUCUUAAAAUUUCUUCACUGUUUUGGCACUGAUUGUCAUCUGUUCUACAUACUGGAUCUAUAUACCCACAUCUCAUCUAAUAAUAAGCAUUGAGCUCAUUUCUGCUAAUAAGAUUCCCUUCGCAUGCCUAUAUAUAUUAAUUUCUCAGAAUAAAAUAAUAAUAAUUUAAAAAAAAAGCAUGACAACCAAAAUUAUUGAAAAUAUCAAACACUCGCACUUGCAAAACAUUUAUUUGGCUUUGAAAGGAAAGUGAAUUUUCCAAUACUGCAUCUUAUUCAUAUUAGCUUUUACAUUUUGUAUGGCUAAUGGAGUAUAAAAAUAUAAUGAGUAUUAACACACUGGUUUUGGUUACUUUUUUGCAGUUCAUAAUGUUGCAAAUGAACUAGGUUUGAAGAAAUCAGACAUGAGCAGUGUUGUGAAGGUCCUACGGAAAAUAGAGAUUACCUAAAGAGAUUAUCUAAAACACAUACAAAUAUCUAGAAUUAAGUUGCCUCAGCGUUUGUCAAAAUGCCAUUUUCUCGCUAUAGACUUUUAACUUACAGUAUUUCUAGUAAAAAGAAUCUUGUUCCAGAAUGCCAGAUUGUGAUUUCCAAAGAUAUUCCAACAGCAAACUAUAAAGAUUAGAAUGUAAAAGAACGACUAUUUCAUGUCUUCCAUCAUCCACAUUUUCUCUAUUCCAUUCCAUCUAGAAGUGACACAUCUCGACACCUCUACGAUAUUGAAAGGUGGCAGACAGCACGAUACUGUGAAUAUCCAUGACACGUCCAUGCAAAGACAUAUACACUGACACGCUUAUACUCUCACUCAGCUAACCAUGUAAACAGUGAGACAGCACGCCACGUGUCCUAAGGCUAAGUAGUCAUGGUACAAAAUUUCUAUGGGUUACGAACUACUAAUCCAAUAGAUUACGAUAUCAGAGCACUUAGUAGAGCCCUGUAGACGACGUCAAAACAGAUACCAUGACCCUGGAGGGGUCCAACUGGAGACAAAAAAGACAAGAUGAGGAAUGAAAGAGGAGAGGAAAUACAGAGAAAGGAGAAGCGAUGUAGAGGAGACAAGAGAUCUUACCAUGUAGGAUAAAUCCUAGAAAGCCCUAGACAACACAUAUGCUAGGAUUCCUACCACAUGUACAGUACAGUCAUGAUACAAUACUUGUCACAAAGUAGUCAGACUAAAGAUCAGAUAGAAACCAUGCUAAAGUCAACAUGAAAUCAAAAUCGAUGCUUUUUGCGCAAUUCUGGAUUGUGUGUUCCCUGACAGUGACGAAACAACUGAAAAUCAUUUGGUGAAAUCGCUGUCAAUGCGAUAAAGUUGAGCAGAGUUUAACUUUAUGCAAAUACGCAGCUAUGUGAUGUUGUGUUGUCUGUUACAGUCGGAUAAUACAGGAAUGCCUAGUUUGGCAAGCUCCAGCAGCGAUUUAAGCAUGAACACACCUUAAGGGGUCGUUGACACAAAAUGCGUUUUGCAUUCCACUGCACUUCUUUUCCAGUGUUUCUACAUAAACUUGCACUAGACUGACAUUUUUGACCAUUGCACUUGAAUCUUGCAUCUUUUGCAGGAUAUCACACAAUUCAGCAUUCCAAACACAUAGCAGUCAAGUUAAAAGUUAUUGAUGUCUCUGCAUUUUUUCAUUCCGCUGUUUUAAAAAACAGAAACACACUCUGUGAACUGGCCCUUACAGUGCAUGAGUCACUGGUCAAAGUCCUGUUUCAUCCUAAAAUAUAAAAUGCAAAAUUGGUUUGUGUACGACAUUUCAUGUUGACUUUAAACUAGCAGGUCGAAGAGCUGGACAUUACUUUGAAAUUAUUUUUGAGAACAUUAACCACAGGAACAUGACGGCACGGCAGUCACAACUUUGAGAGCAAUAGACUUCAUCAAUAUCCUAUAACACUGUAAAAUGCUAACAGCUGGUUAAGAUGUUAAUUGACAUGAAUAAUAUACAAACUGUACUUUACUUUACCGAGUGCUGCAUUAGCCAAGAGUUAUCCCUUUCUGUGUGUCUGCCUUUCAAGAACCUGAGGAGAGUAAAUACGCAUUUUCAGAGCAUGUGUAUUGUUAUCAUAAAAGUUUCCCUGGCUC
ensembl:lncRNA